rnacentral:rRNA from 3 species
AAGAUAAGAUUUCCCACCGCAAGGGUAAGACCCCAGAAAGACUAUCUGGUUGAUAGGUCGAAGGUGUAAGUGCAGCAAUGUAUUUAGCUUAUCGAUACUAAUAGGUCGAGGACUUGACCAAUAUUUA